GAUACCCCAAUGAUGAUUAUGGCUAAGUUUGGUAAAAUUUGGCCCAGUAGUUUCAGAGAAGAAGAUUUUUCUAAAAGAUUACUAAGAUUUACGAAAAAUGGUUAAAAAUUGACUAUAAAGGGCAAUAACUCCUAAAGUGGUCAACUGACCAUUUUGGUCAUGUUGACUUAUUUGUAGAUCUUACUUUGCUGAACAUUAUUGCUGUUUACAGUUUAUCUCUAUCUAUAAUAAUAUUCAAGAUAAUAACCAAAAA
rnacentral:lncRNA from 1 species